rnacentral:rRNA from 1 species
AUUGAACGCUGGCGGCAGGCCUAACACAUGCAAGUCGAGCGGUAGAGAGGUGCUUGCAUCUCUUGAGAGCGGCGGACGGGUGAGUAAUGCCUAGGAAUCUGCCUAGUGGUGGGGGAUAACGUUCGGAAACGGACGCUAAUACCGCAUACGUCCUACGGGAGAAAGCGGGGGAUCUUCGGACCUCGCGCCAUUAGAUGAGCCUAGGUCGGAUUAGCUAGUUGGUGAGGUAAUGGCUCACCAAGGCGACGAUCCGUAACUGGUCUGAGAGGAUGAUCAGUCACACUGGAACUGAGACACGGUCCAGACUCCUACGGGAGGCAGCAGUGGGGGAAUAUUGGACAAUGGCGAAAGACCUGAUCCAGCAAUGCCGCGUGAGUGAUGAAGGCCUUAGGGUUGUAAAGCUCUUUUACCCGGGAUGAUAAUGACAGUACCGGGAGAAUAAGCUCCGGCUAACUCCGUGCCAGCAGCCGCGGU